UCCCUGGUAGUCCAGUGGUUAAGACUCCACACUCUCAAUGGAGGGGGCUCUGGGUUUGAUCCCUGGUCAGGGAG
rnacentral:tRNA from 1 species